rnacentral:rRNA from 1 species
UCGUUCCUACGGGGGGCAGCAGUGGGGAAUAUUGCACAAUGGGGGAAACCCUGAUGCAGCGACGCCGCGUGAGCGAUGAAGUAUUUCGGUAUGUAAAGCUCUAUCAGCAGGGAAGAAAAUGACGGUACCUGACUAAGAAGCCCCGGCUAACUACGUGCCAGCAGCCGCGGUAAUACGUAGGGGGCAAGCGUUAUCCGGAUUUACUGGGUGUAAAGGGAGCGUAGACGGCAUGGCAAGCCAGAUGUGAAAUACCGGGGCUCAACCCCGGGACUGCAUUUGGAACUUGCGCGCUGGAGUGCCGGAGG